GGUUGCGAUCAUACCAGCACUAACGCACCGGAUCCCAUCAGAACUCCGUAGUUAAGCGUGCUUGGGCGAGAGUAGUACUAGGAUGGGUGACCCCCUGGGAAGUCCUCGUGUUGCAACCC
rnacentral:rRNA from 1 species